UAUAUUCACAACACGUAAAAUUAUAUUUUGCAGAAAUUGUACGAUAUAUAUUCGCAUCCCGCAACCCUUUAGAAACGGAAUUAGUUAUUAAAGCAGAAAAGGAACAUCCUCCAUUGUAAUUCAGAUGAGACAGUACACGCUCGGCUCAACGAGUCUUAUCUUGUUUGCAACGAGGUUCUUGUUGACCAUCGAGUUUUUGUUCACGACCGCGCACUCCGCGAUUAUGAAGCCUUACCUAUGAUAUAUUUUGUAACGCCCACAUAUCCUAGACGAGAGCAGAUACCUGAACUCAUUCGGUUGGCAUAUACACUACUACAUGUACCACGUAUUCAUUGGAUACUUGCAAAUGAUCUUAAAGCAUGCAAUGCUUAUAUAGAUGGUUUACUCAAAAGAUUUGAUCUCGAGACUAAAGUCCGUUUUGCUCAUCACGCAAUGAUAAGUUUCUUAACGUUUAAAAAUUUUGAGGUCGCUUAUUAUGAGCUUAGUUUUUGAAAAUUUACAAUGGCGCAUCCAAUAGGGCGGACGAAAAAUUAAAAAUUUAUCAGAUUCGCUUGAGACUUGUUCCUUGGGCGUUUUGAGUAUCGUUGAUUACGAAUUUGACAUCAGAUUUUCUAAACGUCUUUUAUUUUGGAAAUACCUAAAUUCAGCCAUACCCAGAAACAACGACGUGGAUGUAGCAGGAUUGGGGUGCUUGAUUACGUGAAUCCCCUUGCUCUCAUUCUUACGUUAGGUUAAAUUUAUAAAUAAAAUAUGUAUUGACUUACUGAUAA